UACGGGGGGGGGCAAGCGUUGUUCGGAUUUACUGGGCGUAAAGGGCGCGUAGGCGGUCGUGACAAGUCACUUGUGAAAUCUCCGGGCUUAACUCGGAACGGUCAAGUGAUACUGUCGGACUAGAGUACAGAAGGGGCAACUGGAAUUCUCGGUGUAGCGGUGAAAUGCGUAGAUAUCGAGAGGAACACCUGCGGCGAAGGCGGGUUGCUGGGCUGAUACUGACGCUGAGGCGCGAAAGCGUGGGGAGCGAACAGG
rnacentral:rRNA from 1 species